rnacentral:misc_RNA from 1 species
CGUGUUAGCUUAGGUCCUUCCUUCAGCAACUCCUUCAGCAUGUAGGAAGGUCCUAAAUCUCGAGUCCAUUGUUCGUGUCAGCUCAAAUUUCAACGACCACAAUGAAACAACUACACAAGCUAGCAAGCGGUAACCACCACCGGCGAGACGACGAGAUCCCCACUUCCCAAUCAUCUCCCUACUCUCCAAAAACGCUAAAACAGCCCAGAUCUCUCCCUCGAUCCAUCCAACUACCUCUUCAGAGAACAGCGUCUCCUCUUCAUUAUCGUCGGAAUCAUCAUUGGCUCCACCUUCUUCAUCCUCCAGCCCUCGCUCUCCCGCCUCGGCCCCUCCGACCCCCAUUCCUCUCCCUCCUUAUCCUUCCCCCGCAACUCCCAUCAUUCUUCCUCCAACUUCUUCCGCAAACCUUCCUUCUCCGGUCGUGUCCCGGCGGGUAUUGGUCACCGUAGAUUGCGAAUUGUUGUUACUGGUGGGGCUGGGUUUGUUGGGAGCCAUCUGGUCGAUAAGUUGAUUUCACGCGGCGAUGAGGUUAUUGUGAUCGAUAAUUUUUUCACUGGGAGGAAGGAGAAUUUGGUUCAUCUGUUUGGGAAUCCGAGAUUUGAGCUGAUUCGUCACGAUGUGGUGGAGCCUGUAUUGUUGGAAGUCGAUCAGAUCUAUCACUUGGCUUGCCCGGCAUCUCCUGUUCAUUAUAAGUAUAAUCCAGUCAAGACUAUAAAGACGAAUGUGAUGGGUACGCUUAACAUGUUGGGUUUGGCGAAGAGGGUUGGAGCGAGGUUUCUGCUCACCAGCACAAGUGAAGUCUAUGGAGAUCCGCUCGAGCAUCCGCAGAAGGAGACUUAUUGGGGAAAUGUAAAUCCAAUAGGUGAGAGGAGUUGCUAUGAUGAAGGAAAACGGACAGCAGAAACCUUGGCUAUGGAUUACCACCGAGGUGCAGGCGUUGAGGUCCGCAUUGCACGCAUUUUUAAUACUUAUGGACCUCGUAUGUGUUUGGAUGAUGGUCGUGUUGUCGGCAAUUUUGUUGCUCAAGCCAUCCGCAAACAACCAUUGACUGUUUAUGGUGAUGGGAAACAAACCAGGAGCUUCCAGUAUGUUUCUGACUUGGUUGAUGGACUGGUGGCACUAAUGGAAGGCGAGCAUGUGGGGCCUUUCAAUCUUGGCAACCCAGGGGAAUUCACUAUGCUGGAACUUGCUGAGGUUGUCAAAGAAACAAUUGAUUCAAGUGCAACAAUAGAAUUUAGGCCAAAUACUGCUGAUGAUCCACACAAGAGGAAACCAGAUAUCAGCAAAGCAAAGGAGCUGCUGAACUGGGAGCCAAAAAUUUCUUUGAGAGAUGG